rnacentral:rRNA from 1 species
CGGGGUGAGUAACGCGUGGAGAACCUGCCGUAUACUGGGGGAUAACACUUAGAAAUAGGUGCUAAUACCGCAUAAGCGCACAGCUUCGCAUGAAGCAGUGUGAAAAACUCCGGUGGUAUACGAUGGAUCCGCGUCUGAUUAGCUUGUUGGCGGGGUAAAGGCCCACCAAGGCGACGAUCAGUAGCCGGCCUGAGAGGGUGAACGGCCACAUUGGGACUGAGACACGGCCCAAACUCCUACGGGAGGCAGCAG